UACGUAGGGUGCAAGCGUUGUCCGGAAUUAUUGGGCGUAAAGAGCGUGUAGGCGGCCCGAUUAGUCUGCUGUGAAAGUCCAGGGCUCAACCCUGGAAUGCCGGUGGAUACUGUCGGGCUAGAGUCCGGAAGGGGCGAGUGGAAUUCCUGGUGUAGCGGUGAAAUGCGCAGAUAUCAGGAGGAACACCAACGGCGAAGGCAGCUUGCUGGGACGGUACUGACGCUAAGGCGCGAAAGCGUGGGGAGCAAACAGG
rnacentral:rRNA from 1 species